UAUUAGAAUUAGCGGUUUCCUGAACUUUGUAUACGCUAUUAAACUAUUAAGUUCAAAUCAUAUUGCAAUCACCAUGUUUCAACGAAGCAGCUUGAGACGACUUUUCUCUUGUCUAACCUCUCCUACUUCUUCUCAAACCAGAAAAAGAACUAAUCACAUUACUCCUCUUUAUUUCCUCACCAUUUUACUGAAUCAAUGUUCCACCUUCAACCACAUAAGCCAAGUUCAUACCUUUAUGCUCUCCCGAGGCCUCGAUCAAGACAAACUCCUCCUCAGCAAGUUCAUCCAUGUUUGUUCUUCGUUAGGCUUCAAAGACUACGCCUUUACGCUUUUUAAACUCGAACAAAGUCCUGAUCUUCACCUCUAUAACACCAUGAUCAGAAGUCUCUCUCAAUCGGAUUCAGCUGGAGAGGCUAUUAAUUUGUUUAACAAUAUUCAAUUUGCUGGCUUUCGACCAAACACUUAUUCAUUUCCUUUUGUGCUGAAAGCUGCCGCACAUUUAUCCAACGUUGAAGUUGGCAGAGAGGUUCAUGGACAGGUUUUUCGACUUGGUUUUGAAUACGACAUUCAUGUCUCAACAGGUCUAGUUCAUAUGUACUCUGCUUGCAGGUGUGUAAUUGACGCCCGCCUACUGUUUGAUGAAAUUCCUCAGAGGGAUGUGGUUCUUUGGAAUGCGAUGGUUGCAGGCUAUGCAAAGGUUGGUGAUGCCAACAGUGCACAUGAGCUGUUUGAGAAAAUGCCUGAAAGGAAUCUAAUAUCGUGGACGUCGGUGAUUGCAGGGUAUGCUCAGAUGAAUCGUGCAGAUGAGGCGAUCGUCUUGUUUCGUAGGAUGCAGGUCGAGGAUGGUAUUGAGCCAGAUGAAGUAGCAUUGCUGUCAACACUUUCAGCUUGUGCACAGUUAGGUGCUCUGGAUUUGGGGGAAUGGAUUCACAGUUUCAUUGAUAAGCAUGGCUUGCAUAAGACUAUCCCACUGAAGAAUGCACUCAUAGACAUGUAUGCCAAAGCAGGCAACAUAUGGAAGGCAUUUGAAGUCUUCAAAAACAUGAAGAGUAAAAAUGUUGUUAGUUGGACUACAAUGAUAGCAGGGUUUGCUUUGCAUGGGCUUCGAAGAGAAGCUCUGCAACUUUUCAAUCAAAUGGAAAAUGAGGAAAUGAAACCAAAUGGCAUUACUUUUAUAGCCAUUCUAUCAGCUUGUAGCCAUGUAGGAGAUGUUGAUUUGGGUAAAAUGUACUUCAACUGCAUGAAAUCGUGUUACAAUAUUGAGCCUCAAAUAGAGCACUAUGGUUGUAUGAUCGAUAUUCUUGGUCGUGCUGGUUGCUUAAGGGAGGCAAGGGAUGAAGUUAGAGAAAUGCCUUUUAAGCCUAAUGCAGCUAUAUGGGGAUCUUUACUGUCUGCUUCUAGAAUAUCUGGUGAUGUUGAGAUUGGUGAGGAGGCAUUGAGGCAUCUCAUUGAGGUUGAGCCUGAAAAUAGUGGGAAUUAUUCUAUACUGUCGAAUAUCUAUGCUGCACAUGGAAAAUGGCAUGAAGUUGGGAAGUUGAGGAAGGUUAUGAAAGAUUGGGGAGUCUCUAAAGUUCCUGGAGGGAGUUCUAUAGAAUUGGAUGGCAAGGUUCAUGAUUUUACAUCCAGAGAUGGACUCCAUCCUUCUUUUCAGAAGAUAUAUGAGGUUCUUAAUGAGAUAAAUGAGCAACUAAAGAUCAAUGGCUAUGUGCCAAAGUUUUUUGGAGGCAUAUUAGAGGAUGAAGGUUUCAUUUGGUAAUGUUGUGCUGUGCAAGAUGGAAGAAUUAAAUUUUCAUCUCAGAAGUAUGAAGUGGACUGGCUGAAGGGAGUACUUACUAACAAAAAAUGGAUGCUUUGCGCAAGAAGUGGAUGAAAAAAUUAAGAAAAGCUUGAAAAGAAGAAGAGAAAGGAAGGAUAAAAGGGAGGCAGUGAGUAGCAAAGAGAAGGUGCGGCUGAUCCUUAUAUAGAGUUGGAGGAAAAAAAAACACAGCACUGGACAACCCCCAAAGUAUCUUACUUUGGCCCCAUGGAAUAAAGAGUCAGUGAUAACUGAUAAGGUUCCCAUCAUCUCUUUACCUCCCUUCCUCUCUCUCUCUCUCUCUCUCUCUCUCUCUCUCUCUAUUUCACACAUGAAUAUGAAGGAAAAUACGCAGCUAUAUAAUCUGGAAAGAUUAGGACUUCAGAGAAUACAGCAACUUGCAUAAAACAAGAAACUUUUUUCCCUUUGCCUUUCAUAACAAAGAAAAUAAAUUAGAAUAAGAAGCUAAGGAUUUAUAUAAGAAAACAUAUAGAAGAAAUAUAUAGAUUUGAGAAAAAAUACACAGAUAUUGCAACUAUAACGCAGCAGUAAGAACUCGCUUUCAACAAUCAUUAAUUAUAAACAAUCUCAACUACAUGCAAGAUAAUUACCGGAUAAGAGAGAAUUACGAGGAAAUUAAUUGUUUAUGAAAAUUAGUUCUUUUCAGUAUGAAAUCUUCAUCAAAUAAAAUAAGAAAAAAAACUUGCCCUCAUGCUAAUUGUACAAAGAGACAAUAUCGAAAUAAAGAUUACAGGGCCCACACUGUAUAAUCACCAAGGGUUACUGCAACACAAAGGAAAAAGAAAAUGCAGCUCAUCUUGAUUUGUUAGUUGGGAGCUUUAGCUACCAACUAAUAAAUCUUAGUUUCGAAGCUUACGAAUAUGAUGUGUCUAUGAAUUUGUCUUAAUUGACUCAAAAGACAUAAAAAAAUACAAAGGAAAAACCUAAGUUAAAAAAUAAGACAAAGAGGCCGAGAGUGCUAUACAACUAUGUAGAUUCUCCCGCAAGUAGAAACUUGUUUUGGUUUUAACUAUACCCAAAUAGGAAUUACCUGGUUAAAAAAGGAAGCACCGCUAAUAUAUCACGCGAAUAAAAAAAUGAUUGUGGAUAACAUAAAUUAAUGUAGAGACUAGAGAGCAUACCCUGCAAUUCUGCACGAUAUUAAAUUUAUGAGAAGAAUCAACAGUAAAUUAAGCACUUCUGUUACACUGAACUUCGCUUCACCAAUUGAAAAAUUACUAAUUUACUCAUAACUCCUAUCCCUUGAUCUGCAAAAUAACUAUAAAAGAUGGCAACCCUUUUGAUCUCAAAACGGUCUUUUUCUUUGCAUUAUCAUAGCAUUGGAGGCAUGAAAGCAAUGGUUGGAAAGUUAUAGCUUCUCUACAGAGCCACCUUUUAACUCACAUUUCUUUCACCAUUUAAGUUGAGGUAAGGCAUGAUCUGCACCUUAUCUUCAAGUGGGGUCUUCUGAUAGUGAUGGGCUCAUGCAGGCGACCAAAGCAGUAGAUGCUCCUACAGACAAGCUUUCUAUAAUAGAUUUGGCAUGGAUGGGAAAAAUGGAAAGAUAGACCAGUAAGGAGAGCUAAUGAAUGGAAGGAACAUGAACGAGAAGUUGGAGAUGAUAGUAGGCUUAUAAAGUUGCAUGAGAGAGAGAAGGUGUGGGGCCUUACGUUCAGUGAGGUCCCCCUCACUUUUCUCAUGGGUAGCAUAAAAAUUCAGAAGCAGCAAUAACAGCUCAUAGAGUCGAUCUUUCUUUUGUGGAUUUGAUUUUGGAAAGGAAAGCAGAUAAGCAGACCAAUAUAAAGAAGAAGAAAUGACACUGCAAGUAGUGUAAAUGAGAUAAUGUUCUUGAAGUUCAGUAAAGAAAGCAAAGUAUGUUAGGUCCUAAAUCAAGCUUCAAGCUACAAAUACUUAAAUGUUGUUGGCAAGUGAAGGAAAUCUGAAAGUGUGUACUCGUAAAAAGAACUCUAUCAAUCAUUUUCAUAAAAUAUAAUAGGUAAUGUAGUUAGAAAAAUGACUUGAUAAUUUGAAGGCCUUCAACUUUGGUUUUUUUUUUUUUUUUUUUUUUGGCGAUGUUCAACCAAUUCGACGUUAGAUGUCCGAUGCAUUCGAUGUUACUUUGACGAUGUUCGGCGAUUUGUACAAUUUCAACGCAUUGAGGAAAAAGGAAGUUAGAGUUAAGCAAUAUAAGCUAUGUAAACAUCAUUUAGAUUAUUUUAUAAAAUAUAAUAGGUAAUGUAAUUAGAAA